AAAACUUUCAACAACGGAUCUCUUGGUUCUGGCAUCGAUGAAGAACGCAGCGAAAUGCGAUAAGUAAUGUGAAUUGCAGAAUCCAGUGAAUCAUCGAAUCUUUGAACGCACAUUGCACCUUCUGGUAUUCUGGGAGGUAUGCCUGUUCGAGCGUCAUU
rnacentral:rRNA from 1 species